CGCCGGUCACAGUCGGGUUUAGCCUCAGGGCGCCUCCAGUAGUGCCUCCAAUGCCUUCAAUCCCUGGGCUGGUGGUGUAUGCCGUGCUGCUGGUUUUCGCUAUCCUGUUUCUCCGCAAGGCAAAGACGUAUGACUUCUCUGACAACACUGAAUAUCACCGGAGGGACUUUUCGAGGCCGAUGAAUACACAAGAGGCAACUGGUCAGGACGCCUCCAAUUCUGGGGAGGCAAGGAACGAGGACGGUGGAGAAUAGGCCUGGCUGGGGAGGCACCAUCUGAGGGGGGCAUUAGAGGACAAAGAGAGUUUCCUCCAUGUCAUGAGGCCUCACACUGUUUGGAGGAGCUUUGGGGGGAGUGAGCCACACGCUAAGACACCCAGUCCUUUCACUUGCUGCCACCAUGGAUGCGACAGAACUAGGGAAUGCUCAGGGUCUCCGGAUAAGACAUUUUCAGUCAUGAGGCUAGUACAUCGUUAUUCAUAAAAAUAUACGGACUCAUUCUAAAGAGUGAUGGCCGUGUCUGUAACUUAUAUUUUGGGCAAUAGUUUAAAUAAUGUUAUCCACCAUGAUCAGUUGGCAUUAGCAGGUCACAUUCUGAUGGUUUACAGCAUCGUCUCUAACAUCCAGGUACAGACAAGCUUUCCUUAGCUGCAGAAGCACUGCAAGGAUGUGUUUGG